rnacentral:lncRNA from 1 species
ACCUAUCCAUAUGUAUCUCGAUUUGAUAAUGAUGAUUUGCUUGAUGAAUUAUUAAAAACUCUUUCUAAUGUUUAUCUCUACUCUGACUAGAGGUUCUCGGAGUCAUCAUCCUAUGAGAUCACAUAGGAUAUUCUCUCCUCUUAUAAAGAGUGACUGAUUCCUUGUUGACUACUCAUAACCUUCAUAUACACUUCAUCACAUCUAGAACGUCCCACACAUGUCUCAAAGAGUCAUGCUAGAGUAUGAACCAAAGCAUGGAUCCACAU